GGCUGGGCUCGUCCUCCGAGCCUGGUUGGAAGUCGGCAUCUGUCUAGAAACGGUUUGGCUCUUGUUGUUGAUUUGUGGCCGUCGUGGUCGGCGAAGUCAGUCACACCUCGAGGAAACGAGCCCCUUUCCCGCCCGGUUUCUACAAAUCCAUUCAUUCGUUCAUUCAUUCACGAGUGGGCGCCUACGCUUUGCCAGAAGGAGUGCUAGGGCUGGCGAUGAGUCAGUCCGCCAGCUAGGAGAUAUUGUGUAUUGGUUGACUGUAAGCUGGCUGCCUGCAGCUCCUUCAUCAUGUUGAACUCAUCUCUGGAGACAGGAAUUGAAAGAUGUCUGAUGACCACAUUAGUGAGCUUCCACAGCCAUUCCCAGUACUUAACAAGCUGAUGUCUCAGCUGCU
rnacentral:lncRNA from 1 species